rnacentral:rRNA from 1 species
UGGGGAAUAUUGGGCAAUGGGCGCAAGCCUGACCCAGCAACGCCGCGUGAAGGAAGAAGGCUUUCGGGUUGUAAACUUCUUUUGUCAGGGACGAGAAGAAGACGGUACCUGACGAAUAAGCAACGGCUAAUUACGUGCCAGCAGCCGCGGUAACACGUAAGUUGCGAGCGUUGUUCGGAAUUAUUGGGCGUAAAGGGUAUGUAGGCGGUUCUGCAAGUCUGGUGUGAAAUGCCGGGGCUCAACCCCGGAACUGCGUUGGAAACUGCAGGACUUGAAUCGCUGAGGGGCAGCCAGAAUUCCAGGUGUAGGGGUGAAAUCUGUAGAUAUCUGGAAGAAUACCAAUGGCGAAGGCAGGCUGCCAGCAGAUGAUUGACGCUGAGGUACGAAGGUGCGGGGAGCAAACAGGAUUAGAUACCCUGGUAGU